GAGCACGUAGCUCAGUCGGUAGAGCACCUCACUUUUAAUGAGGUUGUCGCUGGUUCGAUUCCAGCCGUGCUCA
rnacentral:tRNA from 5 species